rnacentral:rRNA from 1 species
CACGUAGUUAGCCGUGGCUUUCUGAUUAGGUACCGUCAGGACGUGCACAGUUACUUACACAUUUGUUCUUCCCUAAUAACAGAGUUUUACGAUCCGAAGACCUUCAUCACUCACGCGGCGUUGCUCCGUCAGGCUUUCGCCCAUUGCGGAAGAUUCCCUACUGCUGCCUCCCGUAGGAGUCUGGACCGUGUCUCAGUUCCAGUGUGGCCGAUCACCCUCUCAGGUCGGCUACGUAUCGUUGCCUUGGUAAGCCAUUACCCCACCAACUAGCUAAUACGGCGCGGGUCCAUCUAUAAGUGAUAGUAAAACCAUCUUUCACUUUAGAACCAUGCGGUUCUAAAUAUUAUCCGGCAUUAGCCCCGGUUUCCCGGAGUUAUUCCAGUCUUAUAGGUAGGUUACCCACGUGUUACUCACCCGUCCGCCGCUAACGUCAAAGGAGCAAGCUCCUUAUCUGUUCGCUCGACUUGCAUGUAUUAGGCACGCCGCCAGCGUUCAUCCUGAGCCAGGAUCAAACUCU